GAUGAACGCUGGCGGCGUGCCUAAUACAUGCAAGUCGAGCGAACAGACGAGGAGCUUGCUCCUCUGACGUUAGCGGCGGACGGGUGAGUAACACGUGGAUAACCUACCUAUAAGACUGGGAUAACUUCGGGAAACCGGAGCUAAUACCGGAUAACAUGUUUAACCGCAUGGUUCAACAGUGAAAGACGGUUUUGCUGUCACUUAUAGAUGGAUCCGCGUCGCAUUAGCUAGUUGGUAAGGUAACGGCUUACCAAGGCAACGAUGCGUAGCCGACCUGAGAGGGUGAUCGGCCACACUGGAACUGAGACACGGUCCAGACUCCUACGGGAGGCAGCAGUAGGGAAUCUUCCGCAAUGGGCGAAAGCCUGACGGAGCAACGCCGCGUGAGUGAAGAAGGUCUUCGGAUCGUAAAACUCUGUUAUUAGGGAAGAACAAAUGUGUAAGUAACUAUGCACGUCUUGACGGUACCUAAUCAGAAAGCCACGGCUAACUACGUG
rnacentral:rRNA from 1 species